rnacentral:rRNA from 1 species
GACAGAGGAUGCAAGCGUUAUCCGGAAUGAUUGGGCGUAAAGCGCGUGUAGGCGGCCAGAUAGGUCUGCUGUGAAAACUCGAGGCUCAACCUCGAGCUGUCGGCGGAAACCAUUUGGCUAGAGUCCGGAAGAGGAAAGUGGAAUUCCUGGUGUAGCGGUGAAAUGCGCAGAUAUCAGGAAGAACACCCGUGGCGAAGGCGGCUUUCUGGGACGGUACUGACGCUGAGACGCGAAAGCGUGGGGAGCGAACAGG